rnacentral:rRNA from 1 species
AUACAGAGGGUGCGAGCGUUAAUCGGAAUUACUGGGCGUAAAGCGCGCGUAGGCGGUCUAUUAAGUCAGAUGUGAAAUCCCAGGGCUCAACCUUGGAACUGCAUCUGAUACUGGUAGACUAGAGUUUUGGAGAGGGAAGUAGAAUUUCAGGUGUAGCGGUGAAAUGCAUAGGGAUCUGAAGGAAUACCAGUGGCGAAGGCGACUUCCUGGCCAAAAACUGACGCUGAGGUGCGAAAGCGUGGGUAGCAAACGGGAUUAGAUACCCUAGUAGUCC